UUGUAAAAAUCAGAUGUUCUCAUUUGCCCUCUCCGCCCUGUGGAACGCUUCCGUGACUUGCAUCCUGAGGAAGUGGCUGAUUUAUUUCACACAACACAAGCAGUUGGCAAUAUAGUGGAGCAACAUUUUGGAGGAACUUCGCUCACCAUUUCGGUUCAGGAUGGUCCUGAAGCUGGUCAGACUGUGAAGCACGUUCAUGUUCAUGUACUUCCAAGAAAGCCAGGUGAUUUUGACAGAAAUGACAAUAUCUACGAUGAGCUUCAGCGCCAUGACAAAGAGGCGGAAGAUUCCCCCAGCAAAUGGAGAUCUGAGGAAGAAAUGGCAACUGAAGCUGCAAUCCUCAAGAAAUAUUCUCAGUGAAAGAAGAGGAGCAACACAAUCUUUUCAAUUUGUUCUGAAGCAGAAGUAGUGGAGAACAAGCCUCUUUUGUUACCGGCUAACCUAGAAUUGAAAUAAUGGAGGAUGACAACAUAUUCAGUAAAGAUACUGGAUAAAACAAAGAACGUUUUUAUCAGAGUCUUACUUAGGUUAAAAUGCUUCUUAGAGCUUUGGUUUCAUUAAAGUUAUUUGAAUUUGGGGUGGUGGUGAAUAAAUAUUUCUGAGUUGC
rnacentral:lncRNA from 1 species